AUCUGCAAUGCUCUAAAUCUGUCACAAUUAAUUAACAUUCCAACUUGGUUAAACUCAAAAAACCUGGAGAAGGCUACAUUGCUUGAUGUUAUCCUUACAGAUUCUCCAUGUAAAUAUUCUGCAGUUGGAAUAUUCAGUAAUGAUGUCAGUGAUCACUGUACAGCUGCCUGUGUUAGAAACUGCAAACUACCUCAGACUAACCCCUGUUACAUUUUUAGAAGAAAUUACAAACAUUUUAAUGAACAAGCUUUUUGCCUGAUUUGUAUAACAGUGACUUGGACCUUGUCUGUGAAAAGGUGGAUGUUGAUGUAAAAGUGAGACAUAAUUGUAGUCCUACUUGAUCUUAUAUUUUGCAUGUCUUAUUUUUAUUAUAUGCAUCUGGUUUUAGUGAGUUGCCCUGCAUGCUUUUUUUUAUAUGGUUUUAUAUUUUCUAAUAUUGUGUUGGACUGUGUGCAUUGAACUCUAAUUGAUCAAGUGAUGGACUAAGUGAGAACACCGGUGAGUGAUUGGAUGACACACCCCCCUUCACUCAGGAUUGGCGGACUGGACUGAGUUCCUUCAUUUUUUUGGCUGAGUGUCAGAGGUGAAGGAGGUGGAGAAGGAAGGAAAGGGAGAGAGACUUGGAGACACGGGAAGCGACGGGUUCGCUCCACAGAAAAUCGGUUGCAGUUGGUCGUGGGAACUUGAGGACGGAGACUACUCGUUGAAGCAGCAUGAAUACACUGGAGGAAAGGUGAAGCUGGGACAAGGAAGCAGACAGACCACAGCGGGACGAGCCAGGCGUCGAUGACGAAGACUUGGUUCAACGCGCACUAUUACGAUAAUGGCUCCGUAUACAAGGUCCCGGAAGAAGUGGCGUGACUGGAGCAGAGGAGCCGACAGCUGCAGGACUUCCUUUCCCCCUUGUGUCACAGAGAACUUUAGUAUCCCCCUUCCCCUAUCUAUUUAUUGGCCCACCAUUGGAACAGACAUUUUAAGGAUUUUUUUUAUUCCAUUUUAAAGAUUCUUGGUUACCACAAGCUUCUUUUAAAAUAACUCAUUCUCCGCCUUGUUUUAACAACUUGUGAAUAAAAUUCCUGCAUUGUCA